UUGAGCAGUGACGUUACUCGCAGAAUAAGCACCGGCUAACUCUGUGCCAGCAGCCGCGGUAAUACAGAGGGUGCAAGCGUUAAUCGGAAUUACUGGGCGUAAAGCGCGCGUAGGCGGUUGCGUAAGUUGGAUGUGAAAUCCCCGGGCUCAACCUGGGAAUUGCAUUCAAAACUGCGCGGCUAGAGUGUGGGAGAGGAAGGUAGAAUUCCAGGUGUAGCGGUGAAAUGCGUAGAUAUCUGGAGGAAUACCGAUGGCGAAGGCAGCCUUCUGGCCUAACACUGACGCUGAGGUGCGAAAGCAUGGGGAGCAAACAGGAUUAGAUACCCUGGUAGUCCAUGCCGUAAACGAUGUCUACUAGCCGUUGGGGGACUUGAUCCUUUAGUGGCGCAGCUAACGCAUUAAGUAGACCGCCUGGGGAGUACGGUCGCAAGACUAAAACUCAAAUGAAUUGACGGGGGCCCGCACAAGCGGUGGAGCAUGUGGUUUAAUUCGAUGCAACGCGAAGAACCUUACCUGGCCUUGACAUGUCUGGAAUCCUGCAGAGAUGCGGGAGUGCCUUCGGGAAUCAGAACACAGGUGCUGCAUGGCUGUCGUCAGCUCGUGUCGUGAGAUGUUGGGUUAAGUCCCGCAACGAGCGCAACCCUUGUCCUUAGUUGCCAGCACGUAAUGGUGGGAACUCUAGGGAGACUGCCGGUGACAAACCGGAGGAAGGCGGGGACGACGUCAAGUCAUCAUGGCCCUUACGGCCAGGGCUACACACGUGCUACAAUGGUCGGUACAAAGGGUUGCUAGCCCGCGAGGGUACGCCAAUCUCAAAAAGCCGAUCGUAGUCCGGAUUGGAGUCUGCAACUCGACUCCAUGAAGUCGGAAUCGCUAGUAAUCGCGGAUCAGAAUGCCGCGGUGAAUACGUUCCCGGGCCUUGUACACACCGCCCGUCACACCAUGGGAGUUUGUUGCACCAGAAGUAGGUAGCUUAACCGCAAGGAGGGCGCUUACCACGGUGUGGCCAAUGACUGGGGUGAAGUCGUAACAAGGUAGCCGUAGGGGAACCUGCGGCUG
rnacentral:rRNA from 1 species